CUCCAUCCUUCGCCUGUUCUUUGAUCGAUGACCUGUUGCUGUGUGAUGCAAUGAUGUAGCAACAAUGAUGUGAAACCUCCUAGAUGCUUGCUUCUGCUCCGCUCUUUUGCGGACUCAUUUCCUCUCCAUCACGUAAACUAGAGUAACGCAACGACUUAGUGACAAUGGCAGGUUACGACGACCCAAUAGAGCGUCUGCCAAGUUCAAGACAUCACCAGCGUCAUUCAUCCCUGUGUCCAUUUUCCAAAAACCUAAAAGCGAGCUCACGCCCUGCCUCGCGUUCAUGCCACUCACGUCUACGUUUGACCGGGCGACCACUUCCUACCUGCUACUGAGAAUCCAAUCCAACCAUUAGAGUUUCUGCCCAACCGCCAACCAAGUCGCCAAACCGAUAACUAGGCCAUAGCGAAGACGGUCCAGGCGCUAGUCGUGUUAGCAACGAACAAUACGACAAUCUACGAGCGAUCCAUGGGAAAGCUGGCACCUACAUCGAAUUUGCCCCAACGCGUACGUUCGAGUAUGGUUAUCUGCGGCGCCCAGCUCUACAAAAUCGUGAUGACGGGCCCUGUGUGGCCUGGACGGCUCUCCCAAUCGGCCGUACUAAUCAAGCACGGCAGGGGAUAGGGCGAAAAAGUACUGGCAGGUCGCGCC
rnacentral:lncRNA from 1 species